GGAUGCGAUCAUACCAACUCACGUGCACCGGAUCCCAUAAGAACUCCAAAGUUAAGUGAGUUUGGGCGAGACCAGUACUAGGAUGGGAGGCCUCCUAGGAAGUCCUCGUGUUGCAUUCC